UGACAGAGUGUCUCUACCUAGUCUAAUUACACACAAGAGGAGUACUCACAGUCAAAAAGGAACUCAUUUCAAUACAAAUACUAUUACACAGUUACAGUCC